GACGAACGCUGGCGGCGUGCCUAAUACAUGCAAGUCGAACGCAGUGGGGACGGGUGAGUAACACGUGGGUAACCUCCCAUCAGAGGGGAUAACACUUGGAAACAGGUGCUAAACCGAUACUGAUGGAUGAACCCGCGGUGCAUAAGCCAGUUGGUGAGGUAACGGCUCACAAAGGCCACGAUGCAUAGCCGAACGAGGAGGGUGAUCGGCACCACUGGGACUGAGACACGGUCCAGACUCCAACGGGAGGCAGCAGUUGGGAAUCUUCGGCAAUGGACGAAGAUCUGACAGAGCAACGCCGCGUGAGUGAAGAAGGUUUUCGGAUGGUAAAUCUCUGUUGUUAGAGAAGCGGUAUCUAACCAGAAAGCCACGGCUAACUACGUGCCAGCAGCCGCGGUAAUUC
rnacentral:rRNA from 1 species